rnacentral:rRNA from 1 species
UGACCGAGCAACGCCGCGUGAGUGAAGAAGGUUUUCGGAUCUAAAGCUCUGUUGUAAGAGAAGAACGAGUGUGAGAGUGGAAAGUUCACACUGUGACGGUAUCUUACCAGAAAGGGACGGCUAACUACGUGCCAGCAGCCGCGGUAAUACGUAGGUCCCGAGCGUUAUCCGGAUUUAUUGGGCGUAAAGCGAGCGCAGGCGGUUAGAUAAGUCUGAAGUUAAAGGCUGUGGCUUAACCAUAGUACGCUUUGGAAACUGUUUAACUUGAGUGCAGAAGGGGAGAGUGGAAUUCCAUGUGUAGCGGUGAAAUGCGUAGAUAUAUGGAGGAACACCGGUGGCGAAAGCGGCUCUCUGGUCUGUAACUGACGCUGAGGCUCGAAAGCGUGGGGAGCAAACAGGAUUAGAUACCCUGGUAGUCCACGCCGUAAACGAUGAGUGCUAGGUGUUGGGUCCUUUCCGGGACUCAGUGCCGCAGCUAACGCAUUAAGCACUCCGCCUGGGGAGUACGACCGCAAGGUUGAAACUCAAGGA